GAUGCUGGCGCGACCCCCAGUUUUCCCGAAGAUGUAGAAGAGGAGGAAGAUGCUGGUGCCCGACUUAUUGGGCGAAAGAGGGGUAGGAGCGAGGCUACAACUGGUGUGGCCUCCGCGCCUCAAUCUGUUGUGAUCCCUGCGAUAGGGAAGACGAGCAGGCUGCGCUCGUUGUAUCAAUUUUCUCCUGAGAUCAAGAAGAAGACCCCUGAAAAGGCGGUUACAUUCGUUGAGGCGGGG